rnacentral:rRNA from 1 species
CCCCAGACUCCUACGGGAGGCAGCAGUGAGGAAUAUUGGUCAAUGGGCUUACGCCUGAACCAGCCAAGUCGCGUGAGGGAGGACGGCCCUACGGGUUGUAAACCUCUUUUGCCGGGGAGCAACGGGCGUCACGUGUGGCGCCACUGAGAGUACCCGGAGAAAAAGCAUCGGCUAACUCCGUGCCAGCAGCCGCGGUAAUACGGAGGAUGCGAGCGUUAUCCGGAUUUAUUGGGUUUAAAGGGUGCGUAGGCGGCUCGUUAAGUCAGUGGUCAAGUGGGGGGGCUCAACCCCUUCCCGCCAUUGAAACUGGCGCUCUUGAGUGGAAGAGAAGUAUGCGGAAUGCGUGGUGUAGCGGUGAAAUGCAUAGAUAUCACGCAGAACCCCGAUUGCGAAGGCAGCAUGCCGGCUUCCGACUGACGCUGAAGCACGAAAGCGUGGGGAUCGAACAGGAUUAGAUACCCCAGUAAU